UACUCGAGUGGCGAACGGGUGAGUAACACGUGGGUGAUCUGCCCUGCACUUCGGGAUAAGCUUGGGAAACUGGGUCUAAUACCGGAUAGGACCGCACUUUAGUGUGUGUGGUGGAAAGUUUUUUCGGUGUAGGAUGAGCCCGCGGCCUAUCAGCUUGUUGGUGGGGUAAUGGCCUACCAAGGCGGCGACGGGUAGCCGGACUGAGAGGUUGGUCGGCCACAUUGGGACUGAGAUACGGCCCAG
rnacentral:rRNA from 1 species